AGCGAAACGGGAAGAGCCCAAACCAACAAGCUUGCUUGUUGGGGUUGUAGGACACUCUAUACGGAGUUACAAAGGACGACAUUAGACGAAUCAUCUGGAAAGAUGAAUCAAAGAAGGUAAUAAUCCUGUAGUCGAAAAUGUUGUCUCUCUUGAGUGGAUCCUGAGUACGACGGAGCACGUGAAAUUCCGUCGGAAUCUGGGAGGACCAUCUCCUAAGGCUAAAUACUCUCUAGUGACCGAUAGUGAACCAGUACCGUGAGGGAAAGGUGAAAAGCACCCCGGAAGGGGAGUGAAAUAGAACCUGAAACCGUGUGCUUACAAGUAGUCAGAGCCCGUUAAUGGGUGAUGGCGUGCCUUUUGUAGAAUGAACCGGCGAGUUACGAUUUGAUGCAAGGUUAAGCAGUAAAUGUGGAGCCGUAGCGAAAGCGAGUCUGAAUAGGGCGUUUAGUAUUUGGUCGUAGACCCGAAACCAGGUGAUCUACCCUUGGUCAGGUUGAAGUUCAGGUAACACUGAAUGGAGGACCGAACCGACUUACGUUGAAAAGUGAGCGGAUGAACUGAGGGUAGCGGAGAAAUUCCAAUCGAACCUGGAGAUAGCUGGUUCUCUCCGAAAUAGCUUUAGGGCUAGCCUCAAGUGAUGAUUAUUGGAGGUAGAGCACUGUUUGGACGAGGGGCCCCUCUCGGGUUACCGAAUUCAGACAAACUCCGAAUGCCAAUUAAUUUAACUUGGGAGUCAGAACAUGGGUGAUAAGGUCCGUGUUCGAAAGGGAAACAGCCCAGACCACCAGCUAAGGUCCCAAAAUAUAUGUUAAGUGGAAAAGGAUGUGGCGUUGCCCAGACAACUAGGAUGUUGGCUUAGAAGCAGCCAUCAUUUAAAGAGUGCGUAAUAGCUCACUAGUCGAGUGACACUGCGCCGAAAAUGUACCGGGGCUAAACAUAUUACCGAAGCUGUGGAUUGUCCUUUGGACAAUGGUAGGAGAGCGUUCUAAGGGCGUUGAAGCAUGAUCGUAAGGACAUGUGGAGCGCUUAGAAGUGAGAAUGCCGGUGUGAGUAGCGAAAGACGGGUGAGAAUCCCGUCCACCGAUUGACUAAGGUUUCCAGAGGAAGGCUCGUCCGCUCUGGGUUAGUCGGGUCCUAAGCUGAGGCCGACAGGCGUAGGCGAUGGAUAACAGGUUGAUAUUCCUGUACCACCUAUAAUCGUUUUAAUCGAUGGGGGGACGCAGUAGGAUAGGCGAAGCGUGCGAUUGGAUUGCACGUCUAAGCAGUAAGGCUGAGUAUUAGGCAAAUCCGGUACUCGUUAAGGCUGAGCUGUGAUGGGGAGAAGACAUUGUGUCUUCGAGUCGUUGAUUUCACACUGCCGAGAAAAGCCUCUAGAUAGAAAAUAGGUGCCCGUACCGCAAACCGACACAGGUAGUCAAGAUGAGAAUUCUAAGGUGAGCGAGCGAACUCUCGUUAAGGAACUCGGCAAAAUGACCCCGUAACUUCGGGAGAAGGGGUGCUCUUUAGGGUUAACGCCCAGAAGAGCCGCAGUGAAUAGGCCCAAGCGACUGUUUAUCAAAAACACAGGUCUCUGCUAAACCGUAAGGUGAUGUAUAGGGGCUGACGCCUGCCCGGUGCUGGAAGGUUAAGAGGAGUGGUUAGCUUCUGCGAAGCUACGAAUCGAAGCCCCAGUAAACGGCGGCCGUAACUAUAACGGUCCUAAGGUAGCGAAAUUCCUUGUCGGGUAAGUUCCGACCCGCACGAAAGGCGUAACGAUUUGGGCACUGUCUCAACGAGAGACUCGGUGAAAUCAUAGUACCUGUGAAGAUGCAGGUUACCCGCGACAGGACGGAAAGACCCCGUGGAGCUUUACUGUAGCCUGAUAUUGAAAUUCGGCACAGCUUGUACAGGAUAGGUAGGAGCCUUUGAAACGUGAGCGCUAGCUUACGUGGAGGCGCUGGUGGGAUACUACCCUAGCUGUGUU
rnacentral:rRNA from 1 species